rnacentral:rRNA from 1 species
GAUGAACGCUGGCGGCGUGCCUAAUACAUGCAAGUCGAGCGAACAGACGAGGAGCUUGCUCCUCUGUCGUUAGCGGCGGACGGGUGAGUAACACGUGGAUAACCUACCUAUAAGACUGGGAUAACUUCGGGAAACCGGAGCUAAUACCGGAUAAUAUAUUGAACCGCAUGGUUCAAUAGUGAAAGACGGUUUUGCUGUCACUUAUAGAUGGAUCCGCGCCGCAUUAGCUAGUUGGUAAGGUAACGGCUUACCAAGGCAACGAUGCGUAGCCGACCUGAGAGGGUGAUCGGCCACACUGGAACUGAGACACGGUCCAGACUCCUACGGGAGGCAGCAGUAGGGAAUCUUCCGCAAUGGGCGAAAGCUUGACGGAGCAACGCCGCGUGAGUGAUGAAGGUCUUCGGAUCGUAAAACUCUGUUAUUAGGGAAGAACAAAUGUGUAAGUAACUAUGCACGUCUUGACGGUACCUAAUCAGAAAGCCACGGCUAACUACGUG